AUGCUGGUCAUGUUAAAUGUCUAGCAAUUGGAAUGAGAACGAUUUAAAGCCACUAUCGAGUAGCAAAUGGAGGGCAAGUCUGGUGCCAGCAGCCGCGGUAACUCCAGCUCCAUUAGCGUAUACUAAAGUUGCUGCGGUUAAAAAGCUCGUAGUUGGAUUUUGGAAGUGAGAGAAGUCGGUCUGCCGGAAUGGUGUGUACCACUUUUCCAUUUCUUUCCUUCCCGUUUUGUGGCGCCAGCUCAUUAAUUUGGGUUGGGACAAGCCGCGCGGGAUCGUUUACUUUGAAAAAAGGGGAGCGUUCAAAGCAGGCCUUUUUAUGGCCGUUGAACAUUAAAGCAUGGGAUAAUAGAAAAGGACUUUUGUCUAAUUUUUUUGGUUUUCAAGACAAGAGUAAUGAUUAAAAGGGACAGUUGGGGGUCUUAGUAUUCCGACGUCAGAGGUGAAAUUCAUGGAUUGUCGGAAGACUAACUUCUGCGAAAGCAUUGACCAAGGAUGUUUUCAUUAAUCAAGAACGAAAGUUGGGGGAUCGAAGAUGAUCAGAUACCGUCGUAGUCCCAACCAUAAACGAUGCCGACCAGGAAUUUCGAGACGUUACAAAUAAUGACUCCCGAAGCACCUUGAGAGAAAUCAUUGAGUUUUUGGGUUCCGGGGGGAGUAUGGUCGCAAGACUGAAACUUAAAGGAAUUGACGGAAGGGCACCACCAGGAGUGGAGCUUGCGGCUUAAUUUGACCCAACACGGGAAAACUUACCAGGUCCAGACACAAGAAGGAUUGACAGGUUGAGAGCCCUUUCUUGAUUUUGUGGGUGGUGGUGCAUGGCCGUUCUUAGUUGGUGGAGCGAUCUGUCUGGUUAAUUCCGUUAACGAACGAGACCUCAACCUGCUAAAUAGUUACAAUCGCCGUCUAAUGUGCGUGGAAGCGAACGGUGUGUAGUGGCCUAACGGCUGCUGCCGACGCGCGUGGAUGCGUUGAUGUGCGGUUGGAUAUACUUCUUAGAGGGACUAAUCAUAUCCAGUGAUUGGAAGUUUGAGGCAAUAACAGGUCUGAUAUGCCCUUAGAUGUCCUGGGCCGCACGCGUGCUACACUGAGCGGUUCAACGAGUUUAUUCACCUUGCCCGAGAGGGCUGGGUAAUCUUUUGAACACCGCUCGUGAUGGGGAUAGAUCUUUGUAAUUUUCGAUCUUAAACGAGGAAUUCCUAGUAAUUGCGAGUCAACAGCUCGCGGUGAUUACGUCCCUGCCCUUUGUACACACCGCCCGUCGCUCCUACCGAUGGAUGGAUCGGUGAGAAUUCGGGAUUGCAGCAUCAGUAGGGGGCAACCUCUUAGGUGCAGCAAAAACUUAUUCGAACCUCUUUAU
rnacentral:rRNA from 1 species